UGACGCCUGCUGCUGCCAUCUGUUACGUUUUGGGGGUGUUUGUGUUGGUUUGUGUCCUGUCUCUCCAUGUACAGGAAAUCUGCAGGCAAGAUGGCUACCCUUCACCCAAGGUGUAGCCGAUUGGAUACGACCGACCUGGACUCCUCCCCUUCAUUAUUGGAUGCAGCUGGUGCAGGGGGGGAUAUUGUUAGGGAAGAGACCCAUGGGUAUACACCACCCGUAGCUGACUGCCUGUCUAGAUACACUAGGCAAGACCUGGGCGGACCACUCCCUGUACUUUUGGUUAGCGCGCCUCAUCCGUGCCCGAGGCUUCUGUAGAUGGUGGUUCUAUCUGAUGGUGGUUGCCCCUGCAGUGGUCCUGCUGUGCGCCUGGCUUACUACUCACAAUUACUUGAAUCAUUUCUGUCAUAGGAAUUGCAUGUAUUAUACAUUGUUCAUUCUGUACACAUGGCAUCCAUUGUAGUCUGUCCACCCCGGGAGUGGGAUCCCUCCUGACGUUCUCCCUAAAGUUUCUUCCCUUUUUUCCUGUUUUUUCCCCCGUUUUUUUCUUUUUUCUGUAUGUGUACAGACUGUAAAGCCCUCGGAUGUCAAUUAUUAUAGAAAGAGAAAUAGAGAGAGAGAGAGAGAGCAGCUCGGUGAGUCCUAAGACAUCCCCUGGCAGUCUGGGCCUAUAGCAGCUUACAUGAGCCACCCCUAACUAUACUUGUUAUCAAAGAGGAAUAUUUUAAGCUUUAUCUUAAAUAAAAGGGUCAUCCCCACAAUGUACAGUGUUCAACUACAACCACACUUAACCUACGCAUUGCAUAAACACUAUUCAGGUUUGCUAGUUUUUCCAAGCCGGACCGCUGAAAUUAGCAGAUCAACAUAGCAUAGACUUGAAGAGUAGUGUAUACAGUUCCUUAUCUUUUUUACCAGCCUAGCUAUUUACGUAUGCAGUACAAUAUUGACACACUUGCUACUGAUUUGUGCGCAGUGCUUUACAAAAACUAAAGAAAAUCUCACAUGUGUUUCUUAAGCGAUAAUUUUGCCCAAGCUAGCAGAUAGCAUAUCUAACUAGCAGGGAAUUCCAACUUCUAACUUCAAAUGGAACACAACGGUAUGAUAUUGGGCUACAAACUAAUCUGAUAGUUACCACAUUCACACCAACAACCUACCUAGACGCUUUACUUUUGUUUGUAAAAUGUUAAUGUGCAGAGUCUAUUCUUCUAUAAAAUACCCCUUGUGAUUGUGCUUCCUCCUAGGAGAUAGGAAAGUAGGCUACUUGGCUCCGACUCUUCAAAUGGAAAGCAAACCGAAAUGUACGACUGUUACCUCAACCUAGGGACAAUGGUAUUUGUAAUUGUACCAAUGGUAAAAUGGUUGUAGAGUUGAUGAUGGGACCAUCACUGUGAACAUACUAGAUACUACACAAGAAAACCCUCAGCAACUGUUGAUCCCA
ensembl:lncRNA